CAGUUCGGAUUGUAGGCUGAAACUCGCCUACAUGAAGCUGGAGUUGCUAGUAAUCGCGAAUCAGCAUGUCGCGGUGAAUACGUUCCCGGGCCUUGUACACACCGCCCGUCACACCAUGAGAGUUGGCAAUACCCAACGUACGUGAUCUAACCCGCAAGGGAGGAAGCGUCCUAAGGUAGGGUCAGCGAUUGGGGUGAAGUCGUAACAAGGUAUC
rnacentral:rRNA from 1 species